CACCGCGGUUAUACGAGGGGCCCAAAUUGACGCACUACGGCGUAAAGUGUGAUUAGAGAGCAACUUAUACUAAAGCCAAACGCCCCCUAUGCUGUCAUACGCCAUGGGGAGAACGAAGCCCGACAACGAAAGUGGCUUUAUAAAUCUUGAACUCACGACAGCUAAGGCA
rnacentral:rRNA from 1 species